GACGAACGCUGGCGGCGUGCCUAAUACAUGCAAGUCGAGCGCAGGAAGCUGACGGAACUCUUCGGAGGGAAGACAGUGGAAUGAGCGGCGGACGGGUGAGUAACACGUAAGGAACCUGCCUCAAGGAUUGGGAUAACUCCGAGAAAUCGGAGCUAAUACCGGAUAGUUCAACGGACCGCAUGGCCCGCUGAUGAAAGGCGCUCCGGCGUCACCUUGAGAUGGCCUUGCGGUGCAUUAGCUAGUUGGUGGGGUAACGGCCCACCAAGGCGACGAUGCAUAGCCGACCUGAGAGGGUGAUCGGCCACACUGGGACUGAGACACGGCCCAGACUCCUACGGGAGGCAGCAGUAGGGAAUCUUCCACAAUGGACGAAAGUCUGAUGGAGCAACGCCGCGUGAGUGAUGAAGGUUUUCGGAUCGUAAAACUCUGUUGUAAGGGAAGAACACGUACGAGAGGAAAUGCUCGUACCUUGACGGUACCUUACGAGAAAGCCACGGCUAACUACGUGCCAGCCGCCGCCGUAA
rnacentral:rRNA from 1 species